UACGUAGGUGGCAAGCGUUGUCCGGAUUUACUGGGCGUAAAGAGCGCGCAGGCGGUCGAUCAAGUCGCGUGUGAAAGCCCCCGGCUCAACUGGGGAGGGUCACGCGAUACUGAUCGACUCGAAGGCAGGAGAGGGUAGUGGAAUUCCCGGUGUAGUGGUGAAAUGCGUAGAUAUCGGGAGGAAGACCAGUGGCGAAGGCGAAGCUAC
rnacentral:rRNA from 1 species